AAAUUUAAAAAUUAAAAUUUAAAAAUUCAAAAAUGAAUCUGAAAAUUAAAAUUUAAAAUUAAAUUUAAAUUUAAAUAUUGAAUUUAAAAUUAAAAUAAAAAUUUGAAGUUUGAGUCCAAAAUCAGAAUCAGAUUUCAAGAAGCAGCUUUUUUCUGCUUCUUAUUCUGGGGCCUUCAAAAUCAGUUUUCUGAUUCUAAAAAAUAGAAUCAGAUUUUAAAAUUGAGGUUGUCAAACGCUCU
rnacentral:lncRNA from 1 species